rnacentral:rRNA from 1 species
UACGUAGGGUGCGAGCGUUAAUCGGACUUACUGGGCGUAAAGCGUGCGCAGGCGGUUUUUUAAGCCCGAUGUGAAAGCCCCGGGCUCAACCUGGGAAUGGCAUUUGGGACUGCAAGGCUGGAGUUUGGCAGAGGAGACUGGAAUUCCUGGUGUAGCAGUGAAAUGCGUAGAUAUCAGGAGGAAUACCGAUGGCGAAGGCAGGUCUCUGGGCUAUAACUGACGCUCAUGCACGAAAGCGUGGGGAGCAAACAGG